UACGUAGGGGGCAAGCGUUGUCCGGAUUUACUGGGUGUAAAGGGCGCGUAGGCGGAUUUGUAAGUCAGAGGUGAAAGCCUGCAGCUCAACUGCAGAAUUGCCUUUGAUACUAUAAAUCUUGAGUUCGAUAGAGAGAGACAGAAUUCCAGGUGUAGUGGUGAAAUACGUAGAUAUCUGGAAGAAUACCAGUUGCGAAGGCGGUCUCUUGGCUCGAUACUGACGCUGAGGCGCGAAAGCGUGGGUAGCAAACAGG
rnacentral:rRNA from 1 species